rnacentral:rRNA from 1 species
GAUGAACGCUGGCGGCGUGCUUAACACAUGCAAGUCGAGCGGAAAGGCCCAAGCUUGCUUGGGUACUCGAGUGGCGAACGGGUGAGUAACACGUGGGUGAUCUGCCCUGCACUUCGGGAUAAGCCUGGGAAACUGGGUCUAAUACCGGAUAGGACCACAUUUUGGAUGGUGUGGUGGAAAGUUUUUCGGUGUGGGAUGAGCUCGCGGCCUAUCAGCUUGUUGGUGGGGUAAUGGCCUACCAAGGCGUCGACGGGUAGCCGGCCUGAGAGGGUGUACGGCCACAUUGGGACUGAGAUACGGCCCAGACUCCUACGGGAGGCAGCAGUGGGGAAUAUUGCACAAUGGGCGCAAGCCUGAUGCAGCGACGCCGCGUGGGGGAUGACGGCCUUCGGGUUGUAAACUCCUUUCGCUAGGGACGAAGCGCAAGUGACGGUACCUGGAGAAGAAGCACCGGCUAACUACGUG